GCCAUAUGGUGUCUUUUCCAAUUACUCAACUCUAUGCAUGAAAGCAGCCAUAGGUGAUAUGUAAACAAUGGUGAUCCCUCUGUUCUUUUGAUGGUGGAGACCAAGUCUACUUUGAAAUGGAGGAAGAGAAAUAGAGGACAUAAAGGAUUCUCCUACCACUCCUUCCGUUUUUGUGUGAGAUGCUGACAGAUAAGGACAGAACAUACUGUUCCCACCCUCCUCAUUUUAUUACACAAAAAUGCAGCCCACAUUGUAUUGAGCUUUGCACAUUGCUUUCUCUGCUUAACUGGACAGCCUGAACACCUCUGUACAUUGGUACAGAAAAGGCGCUCAUUUUGUUUGUUUUUUUUCACAGCUGCAAAGGAUUAAUUUUGUAAAUAUGCCAUGUUUUAUUUGGGUCCCAUCCAAACCCUGUCACAAUAAAUAGUCU
ensembl:lncRNA